rnacentral:lncRNA from 1 species
CCUUAUCCUCAGGAAGCCCUGAGCGCUGAGAGGCGCUGUUACAGAACCAAACUGGGGUUCACUCGCUAGGCCUACUUAGGUGCCUGGAAUUUCCCUUCAAGGAACUCAGGAGUUUUCUUUAUUUUCAUCCUUGGGAAGGCUCAUUAGGCCCCUAAGAGGGGGUCCUGUUCCCAUCUCAGGACUAAAAUGCAAUGAAGAUGUUGCUCAGAGGCAGCUGGAGAGGGAUGGGUCUGUGGGUGACGCCCCGCAGAGUGAAGCCGAGAUGAUGUGUCCACCAAGGCCGGAGGGGAGGGACAUUUCACUUUUUAAAUCAGCUUUCUGAAGUAUGAUCUCCAUAUAAUCACUUAGAAGCAUACAGCGCAAUGAUCUUGACAGAUGCCAGCAUCCUUGGAACCACUGCCACAACCAACGUCUCAAACCAUUCCAUCAAACCAGAACAUGCCUGGUGCCCUGAAGCGUCUCCCUUCAAUGGCAGAACCAGCAGAGGUUCAGUGGUCACAAGGCUGGUCUCCAACUCCUGGGUGCAAGCGAUCCUCCCACCUCGGCCUCCCAAAGUGCUGGGAUUACAGGCAUGAGCCACCAUGCCCAGCCAGGAAUGGAUUUUCUCACAGUUCUCUGUGGUGGAAGUCUGAGAUCAAGGUGUUGGCAGGGCUGGGUCUCUCUGAGGCCUUUCUCCCCAGCUUACAGGUGGCAGCCUCCUCUCUCUGUCUUUCCUUGUCUUCCUUGUGUCCACAGCUGUGUCCAAAUUCCCCUUUCUAAUAAGGACAUCAGUCAUGUUGGAUUAGGGCCCUCCCUCCUGACCUUGUUUUAGCUUAAUCUCUGUAACUUAACCUCAGUAAAGAUCCUAUUUCCAAAUGUGUUCACAUUCUGAGGUCCUGGGGAUUAGGACUUUGAAAGGGUUAAAACAGGCUCUUCUGGCAUAUUGACAAUUUCAGCUAAAGACUCUUGAGAAACAGCAGGUGCAAAAAGAUCACAGUGACCUCCAUGCUGUACCUUGAGAUGAAAUUCCAAUGUGAAAGAUGCCCUCUCCAUCCUAGAAGGGAAAGCAACAUCCUUAUCUUCGGAAGCGAAAAGUCCAAACAGAGAGCGUACUGUGAGUACCUCAUUAGCAUCGCUCCAUUCUCUAAGCUUCCCCGCAGACUUCAGUUGCUUCUUCACAGCUCUGCUCUUUGUCCCGUCCAAUCUCUGAGUAACUGACUCACUGCUUCUGCGGGUCUUCAUUUCUGCAGGAGGGCUCCCAUGCUACAUAAAUCCUGCAUUAUGCUUUUCUCCUGUUAGUCUAUGUUAUGUCCAUUUAAUUCUCAGGCCCAGCCGGGACCCUAAGAGGACAGAGGUGGAGUUUUUCCACCCCUAACAACUUUCGCCGAUCACAAUUCAAUCCUAGCAGUGCCUUUCUCUGGAGGGGCUCUGCCAGCAUGAAUUCCUUUACGGGUGGAAGCCUCACAGUCCAGUCUACCAGUAAGGUCUAUAUGGGAUUGGCUGGAGGGAGCUACGAAGUCAAGCGGCGUCAGGUACGAAAAACAUAAAUCCCAUAUCCAAGGGCCGGGAGGCGGUAGAGCAAACCACGCACAGCCGGGCAACUUAAGGGCAAGGAAGGCUUCCUGCAGGAGGUGAAUUUGGCACAAGGGAUACGUUUUUAGGCCCCGAGUGGAGGAUCUGGGUUUCAAACCAGACUUUUGAAAAACACACUCCUAUUGUAGAAAGGCUUGCGGGUUGGUUUUAAUCACUUCUCAAAGCUACACUAGGCGUUCGCCGCUCAGGAUCCCCAGUUUAGCCUAAUAAAAAAAAAGUAAUUACAUCAUAUUACAGAUAAUUUGAUUGUGUCUGAGACGAUAAUUGAGUUAAAACGCUUAUUGUAACAGACACAUCAGAUUGGCAAGGAGGAAGCUCGGCUUAAAUACAGUGUUGAGAGUGGAAUUAAAGGAUUGUCAAUGCAGUU